rnacentral:tRNA from 1 species
GUCAGGGUAGUGUAGUGGUUAACAUGGGGGACUGUGGAUCCCCUGACGCGGGUUCGAAUCCCGCCCCUGACC